ensembl:lncRNA
CCCGCGAUUACGCAACGAUGAGAACGCAGCUCUAGGCCGGUCUGGAAAGGCAGCACAGUUGGGCCCAAGUGGCCCAACUCCCUGGAGGAGAGGACGGGCUCUGAAGACUCUUCCGGCUGCCCCUGAAACCCUGAAACCGCUUAGUUGUUUUUCUGGUUGACUAGCUGCUGCACGCAACUGUCAGCUGCUUGUGAACUGUGUGACGCCAGUUCGCGCUCCUGUUUGUUUUCUAAAAGGCACUGCCCUGAUUUUUUUUUAACGACUAAAUAAUAAUAAUCAUUUCAGUCUCCCUCUCCUGAGGUGUUCCUUGAUGUCUCUAGGGUGCUAGGGCUGGGCCAGCAUCUUUUCCUGCAAUUUUUUUAUCCUCCCAUGGACAGCAGGGAGAACACAGGCUGCACCAGGCUGUUACACCAGGCCUCCCCGCUGGGAUAAAUGCAGCUUGUUUCAAAAGUGAAGGAAGGAAGGAGAGAGCGGAGAGGACAUCAAUCCCCUCCUUCCCAAAGGUUGCACCUACCAGCGACAGUGAGCCUAAUGACAAAGUCAACAAUUGUUCAGAAGACCUGCAUUCACCAGAAAGAAUAUUUUUACCAAUAUUCAGAUGAUCACAUUUUAAAAUUCAGCACGGACUGAGUUUUUAUACAUUCUGCACACCCCAAAACAGGGGAAGACCACCACAGCGUGCACAGGAGGAAAAAAGUCAGACUGUGCAAUCAUUAUGCAAUAAUGCAUUAAUAAUAUAUGGUUUAUUGAACCAAAAAAGACUUUGGCCAAACUCCCAGUCAUUUAACCCAUUGAGUGGUUUUAAGUUAUAUAGCCACCGAAGAAGAAAUUACCUGAGGAAGAAUAGAGUAAACCUACCAGGAACCUCCUCAGUUACCUAAAGCAAUGCCUCUAAGAAGCAUGGAGAAGAAGCUCAGUGUGGAAAUGGAGAAAACCAACUUGUUCAUCUAAAGCUGAGUCUCAGGGACUAUUUGGCACAGAGCUAUGAACCUGGGGGACUGGAAAAGUCAGAAACUUAGCAGUACCGAGGAUCAAACUCCGGACCUUGCACUUGUGAGGCAGGUGGCAGAACCACUGAGCUAAAUCCCUGACAAUUUGCAUUUCUUGAAUGGCUAGCAAUAUUGAGCAUUUUUUCAUGUGUUUAUUGGCUGUUUAUACUUCUUCAUCUGAGAAGUGUCUAUUCACUUCAGAUGUGCAUUUUUGGAUUGGGUCUUUAAAUUUGGGGGGUCUAAUUUUGGGGGGUUCUUUAUGUAGUCUAAGUAUUACUCCUCUGAGUAGCUAGCAAAAUUUUUUGGGGAAGCAAAAGUACUUCUUGAAUAAAAUCAGUCUAUGCACAUAACAGCUACAAAAUGUGUAAUGAUUACAAAAAAUAUUAUUUUGUUUCUCUGAAAUCAUAAUACUGAUAUAUGACAUUUAUUGAGUUUUUAACCCUAUGCUUCAAUGUCUGAUAUGUUGUCUCAUUUAAGUUUCACAGUGAUUGUGUUGUAGGAAUCAUUAUUAUUUUCAUUUCACAGAUGAGGAAACUAUACUUGGGACAGGGCAGGUAAAGUGAUCAAAGUCACAAAAGGAGAAAGUAAUAGAAUAAUCUGUCUAUGGCCAGAGUUUUCACAAUCCACAGGGCUUUCUUAACCUGCAGGAAAAACAAGUCCCUGUGGCUCAUUGCCAGGGAUCUUCCCUGCCUGACUGAAGCUUCAUCAACAGUGGAAAGCUGCCCUACAUGGAGGGCAGGGGCCUCUGCUUGCUGUCUGCUUUGCCACAUGAAAUGCAAGGUCCUUCAUGACAACAAACCUGUAUCCUCUUCUCCCAGGAGCAUAGGGAUCAAAGAGCCCAUGGAAUCCUGCAGUUCUCACAGGCCCUGAUGCUGUUCAGGAUGCUGCCUGGAGUUCUCACAGCUGCACUUCUCCAGAGACAGAGCCCAUGCACAUUGUGCCCCAACUGCCACUAAUACCUCACCAUUAUGAAAUAGGAGCCACUGAAUGUGUGCUGCUCCAUGAGGCCUGUAGCCCUGCACCUCACCUUCCCUGAGGCUCUGACACUAUUUCACCAGGCUCACAUACAUGCUAGUGCACUGUUCUCCAGCUGAGCUGCCACAGCUCCCUCCUCUGAGGAUGUACACUUCCUAGAAGGUCCCCCAUCUCUGCCAUCCUCACAGCUGCUAUCCCCCAUUCAUCCCCAGCCACCUGGAGCCAAGGCCCAGUGGAAUAGCUAUGACUCUCAGAGCCCAAGCUCACAUGGAACCUCACUCUGGGGACCAGGUGUCUGACACAAAGAAGAUGCUGUACCCAGGUUGGUGGAGCACAUACAUGCCCUUGGUGCCUGGACCAAUCAAGUGCCCCGCUCCCAGAAAAUUGGAAAUUUGGCACAGGGGAGCAGAUGCCCCAUUGGCAUCCCCCACCUUGGGGACCAUUUGCUGUAUCCCAGAGGAGAUGCCACACCUGAGCUGGUGAAGUGGCUGUGUCCCCUCAGAACCCGAGCUAACCUAGUACUUUAUCUUAAGGGAAUUAGAGCUUGGGGCUAGGGAAGCAGCGAGGACUCCCAUGCUGGAAUUACAAGGUGCUUGGUUCUUCAGGAAAAUGUAACAUUGGCUGGUCUGUAACACUCCAUCCUCUGGGCCAAAUAGUGACAGAGCCUUUCUUCCCUGGAUGUGGACUAGUCCUCCAGAGUCUGCGCUGGUGAGAUGCCUUACCCCUCUAGGGACUGAAGAAUGCACUGCACUUUCCUCCAUUCUUCAGGGCCCAAGCCACAUCUGCUCCUCAACAUCCC